rnacentral:rRNA from 1 species
GACGAACGCUGGCGGCGUGCUUAACACAUGCAAGUCGAACGGACAGGCCCUGCUCUUGUGGCGUGCUCGAGUGGCGAACGGGUGAGUAACACGUGAGUAACCUGCCCUUGUCUUUGGGAUAACUUCAGGAAACUGGGGCUAAUAUCGCAUAGGAUCUCCUGCAGCACGGGGGGGGUUGGAAAGAUUCGGCGGUUGGGGAUGGUCUCGCGGCUUCUCCGCUUGUUGGUGGAGUAGUGGCUUACCAAGGCUUUGACGGGUAGCCGGCCUGGGAGGCUGAACGGGCACAUGGGGACUGAGGUACGGCCCAGACGGCAACGGGAGGCAGUAGUGGGAAAUAUUGCGCAAUGGGCGGAAGCCUGAUACAGCAGCGUCGCGUGCGGGAUGACGGCCUUCGGGUGGAGAACCGCUUUCGAAUGAAACGAAGCGUUAGUGACGGUAAUGGGUAAGAAAGCACCGGCUAACUACGUG